CGCUUGGCUCCUUUAAAGGAUUCAACCGGGAGCCUCGGGUCAAUGGGAAUUCCGUUCUAAAUAUGCCAGUGAAUGGAGUAUAAUUUUUCUCCGGAUUCAGUUGAAUUUAUCAAUGAAAUCUAAAUACGUGCUUUCCCAAGGGCCCUGGCAACUGAAAACUCCCAGCUUUUGCCCAGACGCUCCUACUCUAAACCCACAGGAAAUGGACACUCGUGGAGGGUCCACGCCUGUGUAGCGUCGCCGGCUUUUCAUCUCCCCUGUAGAGAUCGCGGCCCUUGGGCGGAGCUGAGGGUGCCGAUAGCGUUUUCCUCCGCGAGAUGGAGCUGACGAGUACGGGGCCCUCAGACUCACUGACAGGAUAAAUGACUUAAUAGGAAUUUGCACAGAAGUACAGAAAAUACUAAUAGAAGAUCCUGAAGGCUUCCAGAGAACAAACAACAGGCCAACUACAACAGAACAAAUGUCUGAACAGCACCAGUCUUCCCAUUACACUCAGGGCCAGAAGACAGUGGAGUGCCGCCUUUAGAGGAAUAAGUCUCAGAAUACCAUAUCCAGUCAAGCUGCCACACAUAUUCAGACAUGUCAGAACUCAGGAAACUCAUGUCUCAUAAAGUUUUUCUGAAAAAAAAAAUUAAUUAAGAGUGGGCCAGUAAAAAGGCAAAGGAAUCCAAGAAUGAGAAAAACUUGGGAACCAAGAAAAACUAGUCCUAACCCAGGAGUGCAAUGUCAGGCAGGCCUAGAAUGACAGCUGUCUGGCAGGCCAAGCGAGCAACUGGUUUCCAACAGAGAAGAAUGCCUGCAAGCAGAAAGUGGAGUCCGUGCCACGGAGCGUGGGAUUAAGAUCCUGGAUAAAUUUAGUCCUAUGAUGAAGGCAUGUGCUGCUUUUGUUAAGAA